AGCGAAUAGAUACCCGGGUAGUCCUGGCCUUAAACGAUGGGCACUAGGUAGUGGGCUCGACCUGGGCGCACUGCCGCAGCGAAAGUCAUUAGUGCCCCGCCUGGGGAGUAUGGUCGCAAGGCUGAAACUCAAGGGAAUUGACGGGGGCUCACACAAGCGGUGGAGCAUGUGGCUUAAUUCGAGGCUACGCGAAGAACCUUACCCAGGCUUGACAUGUGCGAAAGCGCCAAGUGUACCCUGCGGAACGCAGGGGAACCCCGCAAGGGGGACGUUGUACAGGUGCUGCAUGGCUGUCGUCAGCUCGUGUCGUGAGAUG
rnacentral:rRNA from 1 species